rnacentral:rRNA from 1 species
CCCUUAGAUGUUCUGGGCCGCACGCGCGCUACACUGAUGCAUUCAACGAGUUUCUUCCUGGUCCGAGAGGAAUGGGUAACCUUUUGAAAGUGCAUCGUGAUAGGGAUAGACUAUUGCAAUUAUUGGUCUUCAACGAGGAAUUCCUAGUAGACGUAGUUCAUCAGACUGCAUCGAUUACGUCCCUGCCCUUUGUACACACCGCACGUCGCUCCUACCGAUUGAAUGCUCAGGUGAGCCAUUCGGACUUUCAUCAUGCUGGUUUCCAGUUUUGAUGAAGGAAAGUCUUGCGAACCUUAUCAUUUAGAGGAAGGAGAAGUCGUAACA